GAGACACGAAUCCAGACCCUACGGGGUGCAGCAGGCGCGAAAACUUGGCAAUGCGAGCAAUCGUGACCAGGGAACUCCAAGUGGCUGGGGUAAUACCCAGUUUUUUCUUGACUCUUCAAAGGUCUUGGAAUAAGGGGUGGGUAAGGACGGUGCCAGCCGCCGCGGUAAUACCGGCGCCUCAAGUGGUAGUCGCUUUUAUUGGGCCUAAAACGUCCGUAGCCGGUCUGGUGCAUUCGUGGGUAAAUCAACCCGCUCAACGGGUUGAAUUCUGCGAGCACGGCCAGACUUGGGACCGGGAGAGGUGUGGGGUACUCUCAGGGUAGGGGUAAAAUCCUGUCAUCCUGAGAGGACCACCUGUUGCGAAGGCGCCACACUAGAACGGAUUCGACGGUCAGGGACGAAACCUAGGGGCACGAACCGGAUUAGAUACCCGGGUAGUCCUAGGUGUAAACGCUGUGGACUUGAUGUUGGGGGUGCUCCGAGCACUCUCAGUGUCGAAGCGAAGGUGAUAAGUCCACUGCCUGGGGAGUACGGUCGCAAGGCUGAAACUUAAAGGAAUUGGCGGGGGAGCACUGCAACCUGAGGAUUGUGCGGUUUAAUUGGACUCAACGCCGGGA
rnacentral:rRNA from 1 species